GACGAACGCUGGCGGCGUGCUUAACACAUGCAAGUCGAACGAGAGGAGAAGGAAGCUUGCUUCUUUCGAAUCUAGUGGCAAACGGGUGAGUAACACGUAAACAACCUGCCUUCAGGAUGGGGACAACAGACGGAAACGACUGCUAAUACCGAAUACGUUCCUUAGGUCGCAUGACCCAAGGAAGAAAGGGUGGCCUCUACUUGUAAGCUAUCGCCUGAAGAGGGGUUUGCGUCUGAUUAGGUAGUUGGUGAGGUAACGGCCCACCAAGCCGACGAUCAGUAGCCGGUCUGAGAGGAUGAACGGCCACACUGGAACUGAGACACGGUCCAGACUCCUACGGGAGGCAGCAGUGGGGAAUCUUCCGCAAUGGGCGAAAGCCUGACGGAGCAACGCCGCGUGAGUGAUGACGGCCUCGGUGUAAAGCUCUGUGAUCGGGGACGAACGGUCGAGCAGACGAAUAACUCUGCUGAAGUGACGGUACCCGAA
rnacentral:rRNA from 1 species